UUCUUUUACUGUGUUAUUACUAUGCUAAGCCAGUCUUUUUUAUUUAAAUUAAAGUUACACCUUGUCAGUAUUACCCAUCUAUUGUUUUUGCAAAGAUGCACGUAAAAUGCUUAAUUCAGAAGGUCAACAUUAAUCUUAGAUGGUUCUUUUCUGUUUCUGUUGCUUGAUUUUCAGCUGCCCGCUAGAUCUGUAGUUUGAAAAGGCAAUGCUAAACAGAUUUUUUUUUUUUUAAUUGCUGCAUUUCUAGAUGACAUACUAUAUUGAUGUUUUCACUGAAAAUAAUAAUUAGAAAGAAUGUUGUGAUCACGUAUAUGCCUAUAUAAGAUUGUGGGCUCUGAGUAAUCUGCAGGAAAAUGGCAUACAGUUGAUUUUGAGUUUACAUGAAUAAUAGUUUGGCUAAACACUAUCAAGAAAAAAAAAAGCUAGAGGAGCAUUACUUAAGAUAACUGAAUGUCUGAAGUGUUGGUUUAAGCACUCAGACUAAAUAGUGUAUUUGUCUGCAGAAAGCACAAUUCAAAUUUUCCUUUAAACCUCAGGUACUACUUUCAGUGUUUUUGCCUAGGAGCAUUUGACUGUCAUACCAGACUCCUCAUGUACAGUCUCAAUCUAAGCUCCUGUCAUUUUAUUACUUUAUUUUUUUUAAAAAAAGGCAUGUUGGUGGGACAAGAUAUCAAGCAUGUACCUGCGUAUGUAUCUGGUGUCAAAAAUGUUACUUAUGCCUGGUGUCAAAAAAUGUUAUAUACCUCUUCAAUAAAAGGAAGCCAAUCUCAGAACUUUCUGUGCUCAGACUUGCAUUUAAACUACCUGUCAUGGUUUCAGUUCAGUGGCUGUUUCUUAGCAAACUUCAGCUUCCUACAACUAUCAUUAAAAUACAUUACAUUUCCUAAAUGAAUAUUCUAUUGUAUUGUGAUUAUAUGCAAAUGGUAAAACUGAAACUAAGCUCAUUUUCUUUUGAUUCUAGCUUUUAUUCUCACAUAAAUUAAAUGAAUAAUGAAGUGUCUUAUUGUGCGCUCUUCUCCUAGAAGUGAAUUUGUGAAACACUCAGACUUUCAAAAUUCCUCUGAUAAGCCUUGUGUGUAAGGAGAAGUAUUUAGACUAGUUGUCUAAUGAAUCACUCAGGACACUUCUGAGUGAAAACAGAACAUUUUUUCUACUUUAUAUGUGUCAUAUGAGUGAUAUGUUUCCUAACUUGUAACUCAAAAUUAUUUUACUCGACUGUUUGAAUUUCUCAAUUUUUUUUUUCAGCGGUGCUUGUGGAACUCUUCAGUUGUUGCAAAACUAUUUCACUUGACAGUUGCUGGUCUUUCAUAAGUUUGUACAGCAUCAGCUGUGAUUAAGCCAUUGAAACAGGUCUGCUAAAUGAUACAGUUAUACUAAUAAAGGAUAGAAAUAUUAAUUUUAGCGCUUAUCUGUUUUUUUAAGGAAAAAGCUUUUCAGUAUCAUGUUGAAACAUGAACCUGAUAUGUCAAAUGAAAUUUACUUUGAAUUAGUCUUGUUUAUUGGUGACAGCCCAAGAGUAACUGUAUCUCCAGUGCUUGUACAUUAAAUCUUAUUUCCAGGAAGUGACAUUGCCUCUGUCUUUGCCUGGUAGAUUGCUCCAGCAGUUUUACUAUCACAUUGAUUGUGAUAAAUUGAUCAUUCUUCCUUGAGUGAAAGAGUUCCCUUGAAUUUUAAGCAUUAAGAUGACACUUACUCAAGAUACAUGAGGGCUGAAGGCACAGCUGCGCUGAAGAUGGUAACUCUCCAUGAUGCAUCUCCAAGAUACUAGAUUUUCAUCCACUGACUUUUACGUGCAUGACACCUGACUUAUUAUUUUUAUGUACUGAGACCUUUCUAUAUUUAGACCUCAUUAUUGUGGGUAUUUGAAAAGAUUUAAGAGGCUAUAUUUUAAGAACAUUUGAGCUAGUUUCAUAUGUUAAUACUAAUCUUUUUCUGGGGGGAGGAGGUUAAAAUGAUGUUCUGAGGUUUACUGAGAUUUGGCUAAUAGAAUCUGUAUACUACAUUGGAGUUGUGACAUCCCAAUGAAAAGCUCUUCACCUAUUUUACUUUUAUUGGAUUUGAACAACAGCAGAAAUCUUUUGCAAUUCUCUAAGUUGCUAAAGUAGACAUGCACACAGCAGAACAGAAAAUGGGCACGGAAUGCAGAACUUGAAGAAGAAAAUAUCCAGUGUGAGCUCUUUGUUCUUUCACAGACUGAUGGAGCUGGUAGUUGCAGAGCAGAGCAGACGUGCAAGUGGCAUUGGUCAUGGUUUAUGUAAGUACCAAUGCAUAAUAAAGCAACAAUGUCCUGAAGAGGUGUACCAAGUGUCCCCAGUCCAAUAGGAAGCAUAUCUGGAUACAUGAUUCUUUUAGCACUGAGGAAGCAUUUAAUGGGCAUGAGAUGCUGCACAUGUAUAUGGGACAAAAACACAUAAGAUGUAUUGCAACCCAGUUUUAUCAGAUCUACCACAAAAAUG